GAGUUUGAUCCUGGCUCAGGAUGAACGCUGGCGGUAUGCUUAACACAUGCAAGUCGAACGGAUGUCUUCGGACAUUAGUGGCGGACGGGUGAGUAACGCGUGAGAAUCUAGCUUCAGGUUGGGGACAACAGUUGGAAACGACUGCUAAUACCGAAUGUGCCGAAAGGUGAAAGAUUUAUUGCCUGAAGAAGAGCUCGCGUCUGAUUAGCUAGUUGGUGGGGUAAGAGCUUACCAAGGCGACGAUCGGUAGCUGGUCUGAGAGGACGAUCAGCCACACUGGGACUGAGACACGGCCCAGACUCCUACGGGAGGCAGCAGUGGGGAAUUUUCCGCAAUGGGCGAAAGCCUGACGGAGCAAUACCGCGUGAGGGAAGAAGGCUCUUGGGUUGUAAACCUCUUUUCUUAGGGAAGAAAAAAAUGACGGUACCUAAGGAAUCAGCAUCGGCUAACUCCGUGCCAGCAGCCGCGGUAAUACGGAGGAUGCAAGCGUUAUCCGGAAUGAUUGGGCGUAAAGCGUCCGCAGGUGGCAAUUCAAGUCUGCGGUUAAAGGUUCUGGCUCAACCAGAGACAGGCCGUGGAAACUGAAUAGCUAGAGUAUGGUAGGGGCAGAGGGAAUUCCCAGUGUAGCGGUGAAAUGCGUAGAGAUUGGGAAGAACACCGGUGGCGAAAGCGCUCUGCUAGGCCAAAACUGACACUGAGGGACGAAAGCUAGGGGAGCGAAUGGGAUUAGAUACCCCAGUAGUCCUAGCCGUAAACGAUGGAUACUAGGUGUAGCUUGUAUCGACCCAAGCUGUGCCGUAGCUAACGCGUUAAGUAUCCCGCCUGGGGAGUACGCGCGCAAGCGUGAAACUCAAAGGAAUUGACGGGGGCCCGCACAAGCGGUGGAGUAUGUGGUUUAAUUCGAUGCAACGCGAAGAACCUUACCAGGACUUGACAUGUCGCGAAUCCCACUGAAAGGUGGGAGUGCCUUCGGGAGCGCGAACACAGGUGGUGCAUGGCUGUCGUCAGCUCGUGU
rnacentral:rRNA from 1 species